UCUCCGUAGGUGAACCUGCGGAGGGAUCAUUACCGAGUGAGGGUUCCGGCCCGACCUCCAACCCUUUGUGUAUCUCGACCCUGUUGCCUCGGGGGCGACCCGGCCUUCGGGCGUCGGGGCCCCCGGCGGACCACUCAACUCUGCAUCUUUGCGUCCGAGUCGAAAUAUAAAUCAAUCAAAACUUUCAACAACGGAUCUCUUGGUUCUGGCAUCGAUGAAGAACGCAGC
rnacentral:misc_RNA from 1 species